rnacentral:tRNA from 1 species
AGCGGGAUAGUCCAAAUGGCAGAGACACGAGUCUCAUAAGCUCGUCUAGUAUGGGUUCAAAUCCCAUUCCCGCUCCCA